UUUUCUUCCAUGUUGGUUUUCUCCCUCCUCAGGAGCCAAGAACCUGUACAUCAUCUCUGUCAAGGGCAUCAAGGGACGUCUGAACCGUCUGCCUGCAGCUGGAGUGGGUGACAUGGUCAUGGCCACAGUCAAGAAAGGCAAGCCAGAGCUCAGGAAGAAGGUGCAUCCUGCGGUGGUGAUACGGCAGCGGAAGUCGUAUCGGC